rnacentral:rRNA from 1 species
UACGAAGGGGGCUAGCGUUGUUCGGAAUUACUGGGCGUAAAGGGCGCGUAGGCGGUGUGUCAAGUCAGGCGUGAAAGCCCCGGGCUCAACCUGGGAACCGCGCUUGAGACUGGCACGCUCGAGUUCGGGAGAGGAUGGUGGAAUUCCCAGUGUAGAGGUGAAAUUCGUAGAUAUUCGCAAGAACACCAGUGGCGAAGGCGGCUCACUGGCCCGGUACUGACGCUGAGGUGGCGGAAAGCGUGGGGAUCAAACAGGG